AGUGAACGCUGGCGGCAGGCCUAACACAUGCAAGUCGAGCGGCAGCGCGGGGGCAACCCUGGCGGCGAGCGGCGGACGGGUGAGGAAUGCGUCGGAAUCUGCCUCUUUGUGGGGGAUAACGUAGGGAAACUUACGCUAAUACCGCAUACGACCUACGGGUGAAAGUGGGGGACCUUCGGGCCUCACGCAGAGAGAUGAGCCGACGCCGGAUUAGCUAGUUGGCGGGGUAAAGACUCACCAAGGCGACGAUCCGUAGCUGGUCUGAGAGGAUGGUCAGCCAAACUGGAACUGAGAGACGGUCCAGACUCCUACGGGAGGCAGCAGUGGGGAAUAUUGGACAAUGGGCGCAUGCCUGAUCCAGCCAUGCCGCGUGUGUGAAGAAGGCCUUCGGGUUGUAAAGCACUUUUGUCCGGAAAGAAAAGCUUCCGAUUAAUACUCGAGAGUCAUGACGGUACCGGAAGAAUAAGCACCGGCUAACUUCGUGCCAGCCGCCGCAGUAAGAC
rnacentral:rRNA from 1 species